CUUCUUCUUCGAUUGGGGUCCACUUAAUCGCCUUCGGUUUCGACGUUUGAUCACCCACUACUUGUUUGCCUUUGUUUCGUUUUCCUUUCCCUUUAGGCGGUUGGGUUUCGGGCACAAUCUCCACAUCGUCUUCGGGUUCGGAUUGGGUCGAGAUCGGUUGAGGUUGAACGGGUGGGAAGUUCCAAGCACCCCGCAUCAUCAUUUGUUGAAGAGCUUGAUUUUGGGAGAUUUGAGUGAAUUGGUUUGGCGAGUGUUGGAAUGAAGCAAACGCGUUCGAUGAAUAUUGGGAGAAUUGGUUCGGUUCUAGCGUUGGAUAAUAUCCCGGAACCGAAAAAACAUUUGGUUGGGUCGGAUUGUUGGGAGUAUUCGGGUUGUUCGAAGUGUUCGGGUUCUCCGGGUUGUUGAACGGAUCCAUGAAAAUUAUGUGGAAGAAGGUUGAGAGAAUAGUGGAAGGAGUGUAAAAAUUAUAUGAGAAAGAGGUGAAUUGUUGAGGUUAAUUUGGUGUUUGAUAGUGAAAAUGGAAGUAAUAUUUAUAUAUUUUA